rnacentral:rRNA from 1 species
UACGUAGGGGGCAAGCGUUGUCCGGAAUCAUUGGGCGUAAAGAGCGUGUAGGCGGCCUGGUAAGUCCGCUGUGAAAGUCCAGGGCUCAACCCUGGAAUGCCGGUGGAAACUGUCAGGCUCGAGUCCGGAAGAGGCGAGUGGAAUUCCUGGUGUAGCGGUGAAUGCGCAGAUAUCAGGAGGAACACCAAUGGCGAAGGCAGCUCGCUGGGACGGUACUGACGCUGAGACGCGAAAGCGUGGGGAGCAAACAGG